GCAACCUCUUCCCCUAGCCCUGCCUCCUUUCCCCAGAUCCUUGGUGCUGUCUCAGGAUGGGAAGGAGAGAAGGUAGGGGAGGGAAGUCUGUUCUGGGAUUUCCCUAGCCUGUGCUGGAGUGGGGGAGAGAGGUGGAUUGGAGCCCCCCACCCCAGAGGCAGCUCCAAUCCACCUGCCCCACCCUCCGGCACCAGCUGGGCAACCCGCAAAAUUAGCUCCCUCUGCUCCCUUCCCUCCCCUCCCAUUCUGAAAACAGUGCUGGGAGCAGGCAUAAGAUAAUGAAGGUGCUCCACUUUGAAGCAUCUUCAUCUGAAACCUUAUGUAAUUAGGGUUCAGACUGUUGCGGGAUCAGGCACUUUUAAAGUACUCUGCAGCCAUGCACUUGUGUUGGCUCACAGCUGCAGAGCACU